rnacentral:lncRNA from 1 species
AACAUAGAAGGUAGAAGUCUUGUUAAUAUGCAAAUUGUGGAAGAGUUGACUGCUGAAGCAUUACCUUCUGAGCAGCUUAUUUUGUCAACUUGAGAAACCCACAGGCUAUGAGUCUUCUGGUCAUGUGGCUUUAAGUCACUUAACUUGGUGCAUGCCCUUUCUAACUUGACCUUCUGCAAGAUGCUGACAUCCGGGUGAUUUUCUGGGCAUCUGCAGCUCCCUGGCCUCCCUUUCUGGGCGAUCCUUGCUGCUUCUUGCGGCAGCAGCAGCUGAGAGCUGGCGUCUGGGUGCAGCUCACAAGUCCAGCAGGAAAUGGCAUGGCAUCAGACUUUUCUGCCUGCUUGUCUGUCUUCCCCUACUAGGGUGAAGAAAUUGAGACGUUAAGGAAGAGCACCAGACAAUUGAGCAUAAACAGCAAAUGCAAGAUUCAAACCCAUGCCCAUGACCCCGGAGCUAUUAACCACCGUGCUCAAAUACCUCCCUGCUUGGGGCCUGGUAGAACUGAGCAAGACCAAAC